CCUGGUAUUGAUGACACACUUGCCCUCACUGAGAGCUUCGCUCGCUUAUGAGAACUACUUGUACUCAAACUCUGAACUGGG